rnacentral:rRNA from 1 species
GAUGAACGCUGGCGGCGUGCCUAAUACAUGUAAGUCGAGCGAACGGACGAGAAGCUUGCUUCUCUGAUGUUAGCGGCGGACGGGUGAGUAACACGUGGAUAACCUACCUAUAAGACUGGGAUAACUUCGGGAAACCGGAGCUAAUACCGGAUGAUAUUUUGAACCGCAUGGUUCAAAGGUGAAAGACGGUCUUGCUGUCACUUAUAGAUGGAUCCGCGCUGCAUUAGCUAGUUGGUAAGGUAACGGCUUACCAAGGCAACGAUGCAUAGCCGACCUGAGAGGGUGAUCGGCCACACUGGAACUGAGACACGGUCCAGACUCCUACGGGAGGCAGCAGUAGGGAAUCUUCCGCAAUGGGCGAAAGCCUGACGGAGCAACGCCGCGUGAGUGAUGAAGGUCUUCGGAUCGUAAAACUCUGUUAUUAGGGAAGAACAUAUGUGUAAGUAACUGUGCACAUCUUGACGGUACCUAAUCAGAAAGCCACGGCUAACUACGUG